ACCCCCUCUCAGAGUCACACGUGGAGAGUUUCCAGUACUCUACCGGUCUCGAAUACUGGAGGGAGAGUGAAGCAGAGGCAGAUCCAUUCCAUUACUAGCUUGGGGCAGUGGCUAGUGAGUGGAAGACAAUCUGCUACAAAU
rnacentral:snoRNA from 1 species